AGCGUAGGUGGUUUGGCAAGUCAGAUGUGAAAGCCUGGGGCUCAACCCCGGAACUGCAUUUGAAACUGCCAGACUGGAGUGCAGGAGAGGUAAGUGGAAUUCCUAGUGUAGCGGUGAAAUGCGUAGAUAUUAGGAGGAACACCAGUGGCGAAGGCGGCUUACUGGACUGUAACUGACACUGAGGCUCGAAAGCGUGGGGAGCAAACA
rnacentral:rRNA from 1 species